CCGCAUCCCGCACUAGCCACCACCCAAACCCUAGCCCUGUUUCCCCUCGAUCCCCAUAGCCUCGCCCGCCUCCUCCAUCCCUCCUCCUCGCCUCGCCACGGCCUCCACCCCGGAGCCUCGCCGCCGCCUGCGAUUCCUCCCUCCUGCCCGCAGAGCCCAUUGGGCUCGCCAACCCUAGCCCCAAUCCACAUCCCCCACGCCCCUCACUGGUCCCUCCUCCUCCUUCCCUCGUCCGCCGCCUCGCUCCCUCGGUCUCCUCCCUCGUUGCCGUGGCCUUCGGUCUAGGAGCCCUGCCGCCUACUGCUCCUCCUCACCACCUCGCCUCUUUCUCCUCCUCGCCUUCCCAUCGCUCGCGCGCAGGUCACCACCGUCGGAGAACAUGGGAGUGCGGGUCUUCAAGUUGGGGUGGUCAGGAGGGCUUCCCAACCUGACGUCGCCUCCUCCUCCUCGCAGCGUCGUCGCGCGUGCACCUUCUUCUCCUCCCUCCUUCCUCCCUCGUCACUACUUCCACCAGUCCCCUCCCUUCCUCGUCUGUGGCCGCUGCUGACCCAUCCUCCGGCCUCCGCGUCUCCGCCCAGGCGGCAAGGCCCCCAGCCCCCCUCGGGCCUCGGCCCCUCCGUACAGCCCGCUUCUGCCUCGUCCAACUCGCUACUUAGCUCCCAAGGCUCGGAGGGCAGCGGACGCGGCAGGCUCGGCAGGCAGCGGGCGCGAUGGUCAAGGCCAGGGGCGCGGAUUGGGGAGAUGCGCACACGAGGAGCGACGGCGACCGCGUCUGCCGCCAACAUCGAGAUUAGCUCUUCGUUCUUUCAAGCCCUAUGUUGCUUACUCAAAUGUUUGUGGCAAUUGUAUCCUUGUACCAUGAAUAUUUGUACUUAGCAGAUCAAUAUAAACAUAUUGGCUAUCUAUUUACCAAUUCAGAAUUUAAAGCACUUUAUUUUAUGGCCUUGAGUAAAAGUUCAGUCGUUGUUGGCUGGAAGACAUCUUCAAUACGCCGUCAACACGAGCUUCCCAAGGUAAUGAUCUAAGAGGAAGUGAGUUGGAUAUGAGAUGGGGACAGAAGAUCCUGCAACGAUGUUGUUUCUUUGUUCUCCUGCUCAAGCUCAGGUGGAUGAGCCCCGUCCUGUGUUAUUCCCCUUGGUUUCUGAAGCUCCCAGGAUUUAAUAAUGAGUUGUCUUGGGCUUCAUUGGACAAAUGAUCUACCUCGAGCAAUGAUACAGGUUGGCGUUGAAGCCUGAUGGCGUUUUUCUUGCAGCAAAUAUUGGCGGGAAGACUCUAAAGUGAUAAUCUUAAAUUUGCCAUUUACCGACAUUUUCCAGUUUCUUGUUUGACUUGCCUUUUCUUGGAUGCGAUGAUAAGGGAACUAAGAAUUGCGUGCACUAUUGCUCAAAUCGAACGUAAGGGAGGCAUCAGUCCUCGAAUGUUGCCUUUAGAACAAGUAUGAUUCCUUUAUAAUAUGAGAUUUUGCCCUUCCAGGAGUUGAUGUAGAUCGAUAUACAGUCAAGUACAAUACUGGCGUGUAUAAAAAAACUUGAUUUUUCCUGGGAUUGAACUUUGAACUAAUAAAUCUAGACUAUGGAGGUAAUGUGCUUUGCAUUAUUAUAGAUCGUAUAUGCUGCUCUUACUUAAUUAUACUUUCUAAUUACAUGCUGCCCCUGUUUCUUUUGCUGUGCUAAAAAUGGGUGCUUACUUUCAAUCUAAUCGCAUCAAUAGACUUGCGGGCGUAUAGUAUUUCUGUAAUCUCUAUGCCUUACCGGUUUUGUGAUUUCAGCUCAGGUGGAUGAGCCCCGUCCCGUGUUAUUCCCCUUGGUUUCUGAAGCUCCCAGGAUUUAAUAAUGAGGCAUCAGUCCUCGAAUGUUGCCUUUAGAACAAGUAUGAUUCCUUUAUAAUAUGAGAUUUUGCCCUUCCAGGAGUUGAUGUAGAUCGAUAUACAGUCAAGUACAAUACUGGCGUGUAUAAAAAAACUUGAAUUUUCCUGGGAUUGAACUUUGAACUAAUAAAUCUAGACUAUGGAGGUAAUGUGCUUUGCAUUAUUAUAGAUCGUAUAUGCUGCUCUUACUUAAUUAUACUUUCUAAUUACAUGCUGCCCCUGUUUCUUUUGCUGUGCUAAAAAUGGGUGCUUACUUUCAAUCUAAUCGCAUCAAUAGACUUGCGGGCGUAUAGUAUUUCUGUAAUCUCUAUGCCUUACCGGUUUUGUGAUUUCAGCUCAGGUGGAUGAGCCCCGUCCCGUGUUAUUCCCCUUGGUUUCUGAAGCUCCCAGGAUUUAAUAAUGAGGUGUCUUGGGCUUCAUUGGACAGAUGAUCUACCUCGAGCAAUGAUACAGUGUAGGUUGGCGUUGAAGCCUGAUGGCGUUUUUCUUGCAGCAAAUCUUGGCAAGAAGACUCUGAAGUGAUAAUCUUAAAUUUGCCAUUUACCGACAUUUUCCAGUUUCUUGUUUGACUUGCCUUUUCUUGGAUGCGAUGAUAAGGGAACUAAGAAUUGCGUGCACUAUUGCUCAAAUGGAACAUAAGGGAGGUAUCAGUCCUCAAAUGUUGCCUCUAGAACAAAAGUAACGCUCAAAAGCCUGAAUAGAAUUCCUUGGGAAAGGGUAGAUGUUAGCUUCAAGAGAAGUAGACAAUGGAUUUUUGCCCACAGCACCAUUCAGCCCUACUGCUCCUGAGCCCAAAUCCCAUGACCAUGCCCCCACCUCUCCUUUGUUAAAUGAAGGGAGUCUGGUUGCUAAAAAGUGAGUUUUCUUAAUCAGUAUGUAUGGCCCCUCUGCACAUGCUGUUUCUUCGUAUUUAUGAGGCCCUCAAGCUUUGUCAGUUUUCUGAUGGAUAUGGAAUUUUAAUUUCAUAGUCCCAACAACGGUGGAUACUGAUCGAGCUAUCUAUUAUUUAUUGUCAAUCUGUAAUACUUUUGUCAGCUUCUAGCAUGUCGUUGCUCUGCCAGAGUGCAAUUUUCUCUGCAUGGCAUACACCAGUUACCAUUAGUUGAUAUGUUUGUUGAAGUUUUAUUGCAAGUUAAAUAAAUGUGUAGUGUGGCAUACUGAUUAUUAUAGUUUGAUAAUGUCAGGCGCCGAUGGCUUUAGAUAUGUAAAUAAAAUAUGGUGAUUGUCACCGGCAUGUAGUGUGGCAUACUAAUCAAAUGACUAAGCAUUUAAUUAUUGUUCUGUUAUGUUAUUGAUUUCACCGGCUUUAUGUCGGCCGAUUAGUUCUGAAGGAUUCCACAUCGGCUAAUUUAGAUUAUGUUACUAGAGUAUUAGAAGAAGUUCCUGAUAUAUGUAUUUAGAGCAUUUGCUGAGAUUUGAUGCAAAAUAUUGAUGACCAGGCAUUAUACUGCGCAUAAGCACAAUUUUUAGUUUUUCUUUUUAUUGUUGCAGCAGCUUUUCUAUAGCAAUAGCCAAAUAGUGUGACAUAACACUAUUCCAUUUUCACAGGCCAUAACACAUCUUUACAUGUAAGUUUGUUCUCUAGAUAGUUCUCUUUCCAAGAUUUUCAUAUCAUAUUUGUUGUGGGAUCUGACUGCUUUACCAUAUUUUCCUGGUGUGGACGAUGUUAUAGAGUGAGCUACCAUCACUUCUCAUUACUGACUGUAAUCAAUAUAUAUAUAGAUGUGUUUAUGCCAUAAAAGAUGGAUAUUUGUCGAAGCCAUUGUCGUGUCAUGUAAUUACCUGGAGAUCAGCUAUAUAGUUUUGUUCGGAUUGUAAAGUGGAAACUACAACUCCCAUGUGAUUGUCAUUUGAUUAUUUACUUCCUCAAGUAGUAUGGAUAUGGUGCUGCCAGGAUAUUAAGUAUAUUCAUGAAUUUGUAUAAACCACGUUCUACGAUUCACUUCUGUUAUGCAUAUUUACUUUCCAGUUUUAGGACUGAAAGCCAUCCAUUGUAAUGAACUUGGUUGUAUGGGCAUUACCUAUUUGACUUAGGCUUGCUUCAUCA